rnacentral:rRNA from 1 species
AGGAUAAACGCUGGCGGCGUGCCUAACACAUGCAAGUCGAACGUCCUACGCAAGUAGGGAGUGGCGGACGGGUGAGUAACACGUGGGCAAUCUACCUUUCGGUGAGGAAUACCGGCGAGAAAUCGCCGACAAUACCGCAUACGCUUCGCAAGAAGCAAAGUCGCAAGACGCCGGAGGAGGGGCCUGCGCCCGAUUAGCUGGUUGGUGGAGUAAUGGUCUACCAAGGCGACGAUCGGUAGCUGGUCUGAGAGGAUGAUCAGCCACACUGGGAUUGAGAACGGCCCAGACUCCUACGGGGGGCAGCAGUGAGGAAUCUUGCGCAAUGGGCGAAAGCCUGACGCAGCGACGCCGCGUGAGGGAUGACGGCCUUGGGUUGUAAACCUCUUUCAGCCCUGACGAAGCGAAGUGACGGUAGGGGCGGAAGAAGCGACCGGCCAACUACGUGCCAGCAGCCGC